CAGAAAAAGGCACAGCCGGCGAAAGCCGGUGCCGCAAAGCCACAGGGUCUAAACGGACUUUUCCGCACGACAGCCGGUUGCCGAA
rnacentral:ncRNA from 1 species